rnacentral:rRNA from 1 species
UACGUAGGGUGCAAGCGUUGUCCGGAGUUAUUGGGCGUAAAGAGCUCGUAGGCGGCUCGUUGCGUCGGAUGUGAAAACCCAGGGCUUAACCCUGGGCUUGCAUUCGAUACGGGCGAGCUAGAGUCCGGCAGGGGAGACUGGAAUUCCUGGUGUAGCGGUGAAAUGCGCAGAUAUCAGGAGGAACACCGGUGGCGAAGGCGGGUCUCUGGGCCGGAACUGACGCUGAGGAGCGAAAGCGUGGGGAGCGAACAGG